ensembl:lncRNA
UACCCUGGGGGACCACAGCAUGCUAAAAAGUCAAGAACAAAGUGGACAGCCCAAUCCGGCACUUUCUACACGACCAACACUGAUAGAAAACCAGGGCUGUGUCAUUCGGCUAGAGCCGAACCAGAGGUGUGUCUCUCUAUUUGGAUAGUUCUUCCUUCUGAAAUCCAAAAGUUGGGAUGUGGUAAACUUCUCAGAUCCUGCUUCUCAAUAUGGUAUUUUACAUGUGUUCUCUAAAAAUACUUUUUCACCUUCUCAGCUUAUAUCAGAGCAAUUUAGCACCAUUUGAUUAGAACGCCCAGCCCUUCUUUGUAGCCAGCCUGGACUGUCCUCCCCGUCUGGAGUCAUUUUGGCUGCAAAGUGAGGUCUCAGCGGGGUCAGCUGGGUGUCCAGACGUCAGGUAUCAGGCGUGUGGUGAGCGCCUCCAAGGCCACUUUCCUCUCAGCAAUGCCCACUAGGUGACGCCUGUGAAUGGAGUAGCUUUCCAGAGAGCAGGCUUCCUCUCUUCCUUCCUUCCCAGGCCCACAUCUUGCCUCGAAGAUGCUUAAGUGGCAGGAUCCUGAAGAAAUUAUUCUCUGCCUGUUGCUUAGAGAGAGGGCACGUGAGGAUCUCAGGCAGCCAGAAUACUCUUGCGACCAGAAUACUGACAUUUCUGCUUAGUGUGUGCGAUGGUCUAAUUAUAAAAGUGGGAAAAAGCCAAAAACUGUAUAACCUGAAGAGUUUUAGAUUUCUGGGUAGGUUCAUAACUGCUUUCCAAAUGCAAACAAAAUUGCCUGAACUAAGGUGGCUUCUGAUCGUCCUGGGGUGGUAAUCUGAAUACGUGAGCAUUCUGGAAGGAGAUUGGAGACAGGUGUGACUGGAGGCAGGUGUGAUUCUUUUGAGUAUAACAGCGGUUCCCAGACUGGAGUGUGCGUCAGAAUCAACUGCAGGUAUUAUGAAACCACAGAUUUCUGGGUCCCACUCCCAGAGUUCCUGAUUUGGAAAGUCUUGGAUGAGGUCUGAGAAUCUGCAUUUCUUACAAGUUCCCAGGUGAUGCUAAUGCGGCUGGUCUGGGGACCUCACCUAGAGAACCUCUGCAGGACAGCGUUCUGUUAACAAUAAGUUUCCAAUGCGCCACCACCCACCGGAAAAAGAGCACACAGUGACUGACAAGUAACAACUUCUUGCCAGAGCCCAGGAAACAAACGGGAGCUUCAUGGAUUCUUCUAGAAGCAGAAGGAAGAGGGAUCAAAGUUUUCCACAAACUUUUGGUGAACCUUGUAAAAUACGGACUAUUCUGCAGAUUGGGAAAGAUGUGACUUCUAUUUGUCUUUCAUAUUCUAAAUAUUUUCUGUGAUUUAAAGCAUUCAUUGCUUCCCUUUGCUGUCAAGGAAAUGAAGGAAACACAUUUCAGUAGCACUUUUCUGAAUGCACUUAUCUCUAGCUACUGCUAUAAAUAUGUAGUGAUCACAUUCUCCCAGUGCCCAAUAAAUCAAGCUCUUUGGCCAGAACUUUACUUGUGUCCUGGGAAGAAAUAGUCUCCUCCCCAAGUUAUAUCGUGAAUUCUACAGUAACUCCCUUUCCUAGGGACAGAAAGUAAGCAAGGGAAAAUAUGGGUUUAAAACAUACUAAUUUCAUGCCUUGAUUUACAACAGGUUGUGGACAUCUGUGUAAACUGGUGGCUGGAGGGUGCAAUUAUGUUUGAGAGUCACUUAUUGAGUACCACCUGUGAUCCAGGCACUGUUUUUGGUGCAAAGAU